UCGUGCUUUCAGAGAAGGAUUGUGUGUCAGUGGUGUUACAGACUGCAAAUAAUACAGAAAUCAACAGGAAAAGCAUUUUACCUUCACAGGUAGUGAAGUGUGAGGACAAUUCUCACAGUUACACAGAACGGUUUCACAGUCCAUACAAAAAAUACAGAGACAUUUCCUGCACCUCAGUGCCCAUCACCACUCUGCUUGUUUCUAAACCCCUGGUUUUUGUAACUGAUGACACAGAUACCCACCAUGCUGUUGCUUGGUUACCUUAAUAGAUGUCAUAAACCAAACUGCUUGGUUUGCAGUAGCUGAUAGAGGCUGUAAAAUGCAGACAGGCUCUGCACACAGUCCAUGUUCCCCUGUUGCUAUGCAGACUGGUUCUGACACUCUUUGAGAGCAGGUGACAAUUGGGUCUGUAUUCCUUAGAGAUUUCACAUCUGCUGUCAUGUAAAGAUGUGCUGGGGAGAGCUCUUGAAGACAAACUGCUAAACUCUGCAAACUGCACCUCUUCUGCCAUCCGUCCUCCGGGAGAGCCUGAGGGUUGGAACUGCAGUUGCUAAUCCUUGCUGGAAGCCUUGCUGGUCACUCCUGAUGUCCACCAGCCCCCUGGAUGGUCCCUGCAGGGGUGGCACCACUGCGGUGGGGUCCUGCAGCCGUGUCUGUCAACUUUAAUAGACCCAGUGUGGGAUUUGUGCAGCCUGGGAGCAGAACCAGGUCCUCCCACAGCUGCCCAGGCCAGGUCCUCCAGGUGCAGUUUGGAAACUGUUCGCUAGAUGUCAGCUAUAGACAGGGAAAAGGCGUGAACAGCCUCUGCUCCUGCCUUGAGGAUCCUCUGCUGUGGCAGGAAGGUGGGAUUUUCUCGCUGAUGAAGCAGAGGAGAACUGAGGGUUUGAGGCUAUCACCGUUCAUGGCGUUUGUUCCCCGUUCCCAAAGAAAAACGUAUGGCAAACGUAUAAGCUGUCCUUGCAUCUCCCAGACCUUAAUGAGUAUCAAUUCCUGGUGCUGUAAUCAAGUUUGUGGGCAGCUCCCAUUGGCACAAAUGGCAGCUGCCCCUCUAAUCUGAUUUUCAGCCCAGACGCCCUUUGCAUGUCUCUCUAAUUCUCAGGUGCACUCACAUUCCCAGGCAGCAGGAGGACACAACUGCUUGCUACAAAUAGAUACUUUAAAAGGGAAUGCGUCUUUUUUAUUGCACCCAAGGGGCUGUGCUUGCACAGAGGCAGCUGCUUGAGGAUAUCUCCAGACACCUGUGUCAGAGCAGAGGGGACCUUCUGCACUAUGAAGACACUGUGGUGCAAAUGGGUUUUUCACUGGGCUGUGGAAGAAGGUGUUGCUUAUCUUAAUGUGAAAUACAUCUUCCCUUCCACCUUCUGUGGCAGCAAUAGAGGAGACACUCCUAUCUUAAAAAAAAGUACACAAGUGGUUAAGGUGGAAAUACCUUUUCAACCAAUGGCCAAGAGAAGAAAUCAGUCAGUGUGGUAAGGACAAGCAGUAUUAAAUACAUCAAACUGAAGCUUUUUUCCCCUGUUUCUUAUCAUCAUCCUCCAGUUUUCUCCACCACCCACACUCUCAGUCACCGUUGGCUCCCAUUGUGUUUUCAGCCCUGCAGAUGUUCAGUGUGAAGAUUCCUCUCCCUGUGCUUGGGACCUGGGGUGUUUCUGCCCCCUGGCAUCACACAGGGCAUGUUUGCUCCCCUUGCCAAGCUGCUGGGGGGCUCCUGUGUCCUGCUGCCACCAUGGGACCUGUUACAUCCAGAGGUCUGUGUUAGACCUAGUGCUCCUAAAUCUGCCAGGUUCUCCUUCCCCUGAGCUUCUGCUGCAUUCCCUGAGAAAUAAAUAUGUUCAGCAUCUCCAGAGAUGGCCUUUUGGGAGGCCCAGCCUCAGGCUUGAUCCCAGCCCCUGCUGAAGUUGGUAGAAACACUUCUUAGACCCUGGCAGGUGUUGGAUCUACAUUUGGGGUUGUUCCCAAGGUCGUUGUCUGAGUCCUUGCUGGAGGAGUAAGGUGGGAGAAAAGCUUGGUAAAGUACAGCCAUGCAGUUAUAGAGAGAAAAAAGUGCCUGUUCCUAGGCAGGAUUUUACACAGGCAGUGUGCACUGUCUGCAUCAGUGAGAAGUUUAUUGUAACCUCCACAGGCAGUACCCUCAGCAAUUCAUUUUUCUAUU